UCUCGCCGUGCGUAGGGCGUCGUCCGCNAAUGGGGAUGGCGUCUUCGAGUCCGGGGGGCGACCCCCGGGCCGGAGGGGGGCGACCCCCGGGCCGGAGGCUCCACUCCGCGGGCGUCGAGUACCCUGCGUUGGAAAGACGCACUUCUCCCCCGGUAGGACGUCGCGACCCGUCGGCCGCCGGCCUAAGGUCCCGGGUGGAGCCUCGCCCUCGUGCCGCGCGAGACCCCGAGGGUCCCGGCCGGUUGCCCGACGGUACGAAGAGAGGAAGGAGUCGACGCGCCGACGUGCUCGGCGGUCCGGCCCUCCGCAAGCACCCGUGGGAGAGCGGGGUUCCGGGCCCGGCCCGGUCCCGUUCCCUCCGCGGGGCUGUUUGCGACCAGGAGGUGUCCUCGGAC
rnacentral:rRNA from 1 species